AUUGAACGCUGGCGGCAUGCUUUACACAUGCAAGUCGAACGGCAGCGCGGGCUUCGGCCUGGCGGCGAGUGGCGAAUGGGCGUGUAAUGCAUCGGAACGUGCCCAGCAGUGUUGGUUAGGCCGGUGACAUACGGAAUCAUACCGCAUAAGACCAGAGGGCGGACGCGGGGGAUCGUAAGGCCUCGCGCCAUUGCAGCGGUCGAUGCCGGAUUAGCUAGUUGGUUGGGUAAAGGCUUACCAAGCCGACAAUCCGUAGCUGGUUUGCUAGUACGAGCAGCCACACUGGAACUGAGACACGGCCCAGACUCCUACGGGAGGCAGCAGUGGGGAAUUUUGGACAAUGGGGGCAAGCCUGAUCCAGCCACACCGCGUGCGUGAAGAAGGCCUUCGGGUUGUAAAGCGGUUUUGUUCGGGAAGAAAUCCUGUAGGCUAAUACCCCGGGGGGAUGACGGUACCAAAAGAAUAAGCACCGGCUAACUACGUG
rnacentral:rRNA from 1 species